UGGGGAAUAUUGGACAAUGGGCGCAAGCCUGAUCCAGCCAUGCCGCGUGUGUGAAGAAGGCCUUAGGGUUGUAAAGCACUUUCAGCGAGGAGGAAGGGGUUGUAGUUAAUAGCUGCAAUCUUUGACGUUACUCGCAGAAGAAGCACCGGCUAACUCUGUGCCAGCAGCCGCGGUAAUACAGAGGGUGCAAGCGUUAAUCGGAAUUACUGGGCGUAAAGCGCACGCAGGCGGUUGGUUAAGUCAGAUGUGAAAGCCCCGGGCUCAACCUGGGAAUUGCAUUUGAAACUGGCCAACUAGAGUAUGUGAGAGGGGGGUAGAAUUCCAAGUGUAGCGGUGAAAUGCGUAGAGAUUUGGAGGAAUACCAGUGGCGAAGGCGGCCCCCUGGCACAAUACUGACGCUCAGGUGCGAAAGCGUGGGGAGCAAACAGG
rnacentral:rRNA from 1 species